GCUGUACAAAUUAGUAGAAGUUGAGCCUUGUUAGAUUAUAUGCAUCUGAGAAGUACGCUGCAAAUUUUGCUUGAUAAGAGAGGAGUGGAUUUUCUUUUGUGCUGGGAAUCGCAUCUAUUACACUGAAUAUCACGCCAAUGUAAAUACAAAAGGAAAAAAAAAACCUUAUCUAUGAAAAUACGAACUGUCUUUCUUCCAUUUUUAUGAAAAGGAUCCGGAAUUUCGUUUCCGGUUAUCUAACUGGAUCAUGAACCAAUCAUGGAGAUUAGUUACUUUAUAUCUCUUCGUCCGUCAUUGCUGGUAAAGAAUCCAUCUUAUCGCCUCAAGCAUGCGAAGAAAACAAACGUUCAUCAAGUCCAUACAUGAUGAGCAUCACAUCUGAAGUGAAAUAUGUGCAACGCUUGAUGCAAAUUCGCAUGAAAUUUCCAUGGAGAUCUGCUGUAUUACGCAAGGCAAAUUCAAGUCCAUUUUGAAAUGAACUGCGUCUGAGCGGAGAAAUGAUUGGUGCGUUUCUAUUAAGCCUGCAUAUUUCUGGCCUGCCUUCAAAUUUUCAUCGUUCAUCCUUCAAGACUUCGCUUUCAAGAC